GAGCGCGUAGCUCAGCUGGCUAGAGCGCCUGGUUUACACCCAGGAGGUCGCAGGUUCGAGCCCUGCCGCGCUCA
rnacentral:tRNA from 2 species